AGAUAAGUUGCACUCAUGGCACUACACUCUAUAUGCCAACCAGGCCUUCCAGGACCCCAUGGACUUUCCCAAAAUGGCUCCCCCUCCUUUGCAGACUUCCACAAAGCAAAAUCAGCAGGAUUUUGCUUUCUCGAGUCCACGGUAACCCUCUCUCCUGCUCGAUUAUCUUCUAGCUUUCUUCCAGAUAGUUGGCCAUAUGCAGGGA
rnacentral:misc_RNA from 1 species